GUAAUCAUUUUCGCCAUUCGCCAGUAUGCUAUCAGUAGACGUGUAUCCAUAUCAUUGUUGUUGUUAUUUCAAUGGCCGUUGGAUAAAUUAAUGGUUAAUUAAUUUAUUAUAAAAUAUUGCAUUUAUUAAAAACUCGGUUGUUGGCAAAAAUCGUCGGUGAAGAUACUCAAAACACCUCGACAUGGUUCUGCAGAAAAUGGAAAGCAGCGACGUAUCAGACUUUGUUGAGCUUGGCCAAUUGGCUGGCAUCAGAAUUGCGCCAAAUGUUGUAAGCGCAAUGUUAGAAUUGCUAAUCUUAGGCUACUCUCCAUCCACUAUCAGAAAAGUCUGCCGUGAAAUAGCUAAAUACAAAAGUCGACAUGAAAAAUCUGCAAUAAAUAGUAUUAACUCUAAAUAAAAUGAACUUUUUAAUUUUUUCUUAUUUACAAAUGUAUUUAUAUAUAUUUUUUUUUUUUAUGAAAAUUUCACACUUGACUGUAUUAUAAGUAAAAAUACAAUCACUUGGUUGUGACUACAUAAUAUUAUUAACAACAUUUUUAAGUUAAUAUGUUUUUAUUUAAAUUUAUAACCUUUUUAAUACCACAAAACCUGUUUAAGAUGACCUUAGAAAAUUUUACAAGUCAACAUUUUUCUAUAAUACUGGGUCCCACUGAACUGUAAACAGUAACUGUAUAUAGUUCAGUGCUGGGUCCUAGUUUAUUUAUUAAAUGAACCAUAUAACUGCCUAGUAAAAUGAUACACUUGGGUUUCAUGUUAUUUUGCCCAGACCAAUUUCAUUGUAUAUACUUUUGUUAUUAUUAAUGCAAAAAUAUAUUGGAGGUGUUAAAUUGGA